rnacentral:rRNA from 1 species
UACAGAGGUCUCAAGCGUUGUUCGGAUUCAUUGGGCGUAAAGGGUGCGUAGGUGGCGCUGUAAGUCGGGUGUGAAAUUUCGGAGCUUAACUCCGAAACUGCAUUCGAUACUGCGGUGCUUGAGGACUGGAGAGGAGACUGGAAUUCAUGGUGUAGCAGUGAAAUGCGUAGAUAUCAGGAGGAACACCGGUGGCGAAGGCGGGUCUCUGGGCCACUACUGACGCUGAGAAGCGAAAGCAUGGGGAGCGAACAGG